AAGACUGGACAAACUAACAGUUUUUAUUCAUUAAAGUCGAAAAUUUUAUAUUUAUUGAAAUUGUUCUUCCCUUUGUGUCCGCUUUUUACAUACACAUAUUCACAAACCUAAUUAAUACAAUAUUUUUAUAUGUAAAUAUUUAGCUUGAUAUUUUAAUCUAAACAGAAAUAGAUGAAAAUAAAGUGGUAACACAUGCUUUCAUUGCAUUUGAAUAAAUGUCAAGUUGACCUAAACAAAUACAAGGGCUUGUAAGAUCAAAAUACAUCUCCCUUGUAAGAUGAUCAUCACAGAGUUGUGAAAUUGUGCUACUCUUGUUUCUAGUUUAUAUUUAUUUCCAUCGUAAUACAUUAUUGGCUGGAGUUAUUUGUCAGUCUUGAGCCUUGCCACUCAUAAAAUCAUAAAAACUAUUUUUUUCAUUAAAAAGGAUGAUAGGAAGGUCUAUCUCAUAAAUAAAAGGGAUGAAGUGAUGUAGUUUAAAAUGUCAUCCCAUGAAACAUUAGUAUAAACUGUGGAGUAAGGGCCUCUGAAAAUUCCUUCAUAAAAGCAAUGAUAAAACUGACAAAAUAAAAUGUCAGAAUCAACUUUUCUAGACCUCUGGAAAGGAGCCAGACAUUUGCAGCAGUUCAGGGGGUAUAUAUUAAAAAAAAAUGUUGAGUCUUGGUAUUACAGAGAGCUUCAUGAUGUUUUAAUUUGCCUGUUUCUAUAUCAUUCUGUCCAGCCCUACAGCAGAGUUAAAAAACUAACAGGCCACAAUCUGGUGAAACCAAUAGCCUGGUAGCCACCAUAGGAAACAAAGUGGGAUUAUAGCUUGUUCAAAUCUUCAUGCCGAAAAAAGUUAUUAUAAUUUGACCAAUCUUCUACUUCUCUGUAAGAUCUUACUUAGAAGAAUGUCUAUAUAUUACCUAACUUGAAAUUCCGCUAGAGGAAUAAAUUUUUCUCCCUGAGUGAUUAUCAAACACAAUUACAGAGAACUGAUUAACUUUGGUUGGCCUGGGGUGAAAAAUAAAUAGUUAGGACAAACGAUAGGCAAACCAAAAAUCCUUAAAAGGAAAAGUUGAGAAAUAAGAUUUCUAUAGAGUCACGACAACCUUUCAGUGUAUUCCUGUGAAGUAUAAAACACACUUGUGGAUUAAUUCUGUCUUUAUGGGCAAAAACGACUUGAGACAGCCUUCCAUUUUCACUUUAGCCUAACCUUGAGGCUCUCCUCAAGCAGGAAAUAACAACAAAGGCUGAAUUGUUACCUAACUGCCUAAAUGUGGAAGGCAUGGCCCAAUACACACACAGAGUCCUUCAUAAGAUAUUAUGAGACAUACAAAUUCCAGGUAAUUAAGGAAAUGUCUUAACUAACUAUCUGAGCGGAGACCUCAAUGGCCAAACAUGGCACAGAAUACAUACUUUACGGAAUGUAGUUCAGACAAGUUAUUAAACAAGCGAAGAAUAACAGCAGACUCUGAGAGAAUUACGAAUCUUAUUACCAGAAAUGCUGCAUUCUAUUAUUUAAUUCUUUAGGUCUCAGCAAAAAAACUAUGGGACAUGCCAGGAAGUUGAAAACCAGACGUUUGCAGGAGAUAGUAUGUAUUUUUUAGAGCAAUAGAAGAUGAAAGAAACAAAAUAUACACUGCUUCUGACCAUGAGGAAUUAAUUAGUACUAGGUCCACUCUUUCACUAUAAACCACAAAAGCACUGUGAAAUAUAUGACACAACUAUUUAUUGAUAUUGAAUUAAAGGCAAUAAAGGGCUGGUAUCCCUGUGAAAAGGUAAAUAAAUGAGGCAAAUCAUACUGGAUUUCUGCCAGCUAGUAGUUUAUGGACAGAUUAAAGAAUAACAUCCUUAGCAGUACAGAAUGGUUUCACUGAGUUAAGACAGAAAUCAGAGUGGAAGAUUUUAAGGUGUCUGGAGUCCAAGAAAGAGAGAGCUGAAGAGGAGAGAAAGAGCUACAAAAGUAUACAUAAUGGUCCUGUUGAUUCUGUGGCUGAAUAAUAAGUAUCACAUUAAAGGACUAAAACUCUAUUAGUCUAGAGGAUGAGUCCUUAAGUAUCCACAGAACUACUACUAGAAUAAUAAGUGGACUUAACAAGAUUGCAGGAUAAAAGAGUAAUAUAAAAGUUAUUUAUAUAUGCUAGCAGUACACAACUGAAAAAAGGGUGUUAAAAAAAUUUACAGUAAGAUAAAAACUGAACAAAAUACGUAUAAAACUGGAACAAUGAGAACUAUGAAACAUUACUGAGAGACAUUGGGAAUACCUAAAAAAAGUAUAAAAGAUACUAUAUUCAUGGAUUGAAAUAUUUACUAUUGGUAAAUUAACUCUGCAGAAAUUGAACUCUAGUUUUAACACACUCCCAAUGAAACAAAUCCCCAUUCACCCAGGACGUGUUGUAGGAUCUAGAAACAGCCAAGAGAAAAAUGUUGGAAAAUAUUUGUAUUUAAUUCUAAGACCAACUUUAAGACUACUAUAAUGAAGACAGUGUGAUAUAUUCAUAUAUUGAUAAAUAUGUGUAUCAAUAGUAUAGAAUAGAUUAUCAGGAAAUUGACACAUUGGAAAAUUAUACAUAUACAAUAUACAUGUACAACUGAAGUACUUUGCUGUACAUCAGAAAUGAACACAGAAUUGUUAUGCUGUAUCUAUCUAUUAAUCAACCAAAUAUACUUCAAUUUAAAAAAAAUAGACCCAUUAUUUGAAAGUUGUACCAAAAUGAAGCUAAGAAAAGGAGACACACAUGUAUAUUACCAACUUACUUUUUAAAAUAGUGCCAAGAUAAUUAGAGAAGAAAAGAAACUAUUUUCAACACAUAAUGCUAGAAUAACUAGGUAUCUGUAGAGAAAAACAGGCCUAAUUUUCAUGUCACCAGAUACACAGAAAUUAAAUUAUUGCCUUUCUGGUGGGAAUGUUAAAUGCGACAAAGAUCAUGUAAUAUACGUAUUAUAUUGUUAAACACACACUUGCCAUACAAUCCAGUGUUUAUCCUAGGAAUAUAUGUUUGAGAAAUGAAAUAUAUGCCUAAAAAAUGUUUUUCACAAAUAUUAAUACUGAAUUUAUUAAUAAUAUCCCAAAUUGGAAAUAAUAUAAAUAUCUAUUAACAGAUGAUUUUAGUGAUAAACAUAUGAUUAGACUACU
rnacentral:lncRNA from 1 species